ACGCUGGCGGCGUGGCUAAGACAUGCAGUCGUACGGUGUAGCAAUACACAGUGGCGAACGGGAGAGUAAUGAAUCGCUAAUGUGCCCCGGACUCUGGGAUAGCCAUCCGAAAGGAUGGGUAAUACCAGAUGACAUAUCUUUACCGCAUGGUAGAGAUCUCAAAGGUCCGCCGGUCUGGGAGCAGGCGAUUUCGUAUCAGCUAGUUGGUGAGGUAACGGCUCACCAAGGCGACGACGCGUAGCCGGACUGAGAGGUUGGCCGGCCUCAUUGGGACUGAGACACUGCCCAGACUCCUACGGGGGGCUGCAGUAACGAAUCUUCCGCAAUGCACGAAAGUGUGACGGAGCGACGCCGCGUGUGGGACGAAGCCCUUCGGGGUGUAAACCACUGUCAGGGGAUAGAAAGUUCUGAUCAUCCCCAGAGGAAGGCACGGCUAACUCUGUGCCAGCAGCCGCGGUAAGACAGAGGUGCCAAGCGUUAGGCGGAAUCACUGGGCUUAAAGCGUGUGUAGGCGGAUGCCUAAGUACCUUGUGAAAUCCCACGGCUCAAACCGUGGAACUGCUCGGUAUACUGGGUGUCUUGAGCUGUUCUAGGGGCUACCGGAACAAAUGGUGGACGCG
rnacentral:rRNA from 1 species